rnacentral:rRNA from 1 species
UACGUAGGGGGCAAGCGUUGUCCGGAAUCAUUGGGCGUAAAGCGCGCGUAGGCGGCCCGAUCAGUCCGCUGUAAAAGUCCAGGGCUCAACCCUGGAAAGCCGGUGGAUACUGUCGGGCUAGAGUCCGGAAGAGGCGAGUGGAAUUCCUGGUGUAGCGGUGAAAUGCGCAGAUAUCAGGAAGAACACCCGUGGCGAAGGCGGCUCUCUGGGACGGUACUGACGCUGAGACGCGAAAGCGUGGGGAGCGAACAGG